CCUACGGGGUGCUGCAGUGGGGAAUAUUGCACAAUGGGGGAAACCCUGAUGCAGCAACGCCGCGUGAAGGAAGACGGUUUUCGGAUUGUAAACUUCUGUUCUUAGUGAAGAAUAAUGACGGUAGCUAAUGAGCAAGCCCCGGCUAACUACGUGCCAGCAGCCGCGGUAAUACGUAGGUGGCAAGCGUUGUCCGGAUUUACUGGGUGUAAAGGGAGCGAAGGCGGGAAGCCAAGUCAGCUGUGAAAACUACGGGCUUAACGUGGAGACUGCAGUUGAAACUGGUUAUCUUGAGUGAAGUAGAGGCUGGCGGAAUUCCGAGUGUAGCGGUGAAAUGCGUAGAUAUUCGGAGGAACACCGGUGGCGAAGGCGGCCUACUGGGCGUUAACUGACGCUGAGGCUCGAAAGUGUGGGGAGCAAACAGGAUUAGAUACCCUAGUAGUC
rnacentral:rRNA from 1 species